rnacentral:rRNA from 1 species
UACGUAGGGUGCGAGCGUUAAUCGGAAUUACUGGGCGUAAAGCGUGCGUAGGCGGUUUUGUAAGCCAGAUGUGAAAGCCCCGGGCUUAACCUGGGAAUGGCAUUUGGGACUGCAAGGCUAGAGUGUGGCAGAGGAGACUGGAAUUCCUGGUGUAGCAGUGAAAUGCGUAGAUAUCAGGAGGAAUACCGAUGGCGAAGGCAGGUCUCUGGGUUAACACUGACGCUCAUGCACGAAAGCGUGGGGAGCAAACAGG